rnacentral:rRNA from 1 species
GAACUGGUGAGUAACACGUGGGAAACCUGCCCAGAAGCGGGGGAUAACACCUGGAAACAGAUGCUAAUACCGCAUAACAACUUGGACCGCAUGGUCCGAGCUUGAAAGAUGGCUUCGGCUAUCACUUUUGGAUGGUCCCGCGGCGUAUUAGCUAGAUGGUGGGGUAACGGCUCACCAUGGCAAUGAUACGUAGCCGACCUGAGAGGGUAAUCGGCCACAUUGGGACUGAGACACGGCCCAAACUCCUACGGGAGGCAGCAGUAGGGAAUCUUCCACAAUGGACGAAAGUCUGAUGGAGCAACGCCGCGUGAGUGAAGAAGGGUUUCGGCUCGUAAAACUCUGUUGUUAAAGAAGAACAUAUCUGAGAGUAACUGUUCAGGUAUUGACGGUAUUUAACCAGAAAGCCACGGCUAACUACGUGCCAGCAGCCGCGGUAAUACGUAGGUGGCAAGCGUUGUCCGGAUUUAUUGGGCGUAAAGCGAGCGCAGGCGGUUUUUUAAGUCUGAUGUGAAAGCCUUCGGCUCAACCGAAGAAGUGCAUCGGAAACUGGGAAACUUGAGUGCAGAAGAGGACAGUGGAACUCCAUGUGUAGCGGUGAAAUGCGUAGAUAUAUGGAAGAACACCAGUGGCGAAGGCGGCUGUCUGGUCUGUAACUGACGCUGAGGCUCGAAAGUAUGGGUAGCAAACAGGAUUAGAUACCCUGGUAGUCCAUACCGUAAACGAUGAAUGCUAAGUGUUGGAGGGUUUCCGCCCUUCAGUGCUGCAGCUAACGCAUUAAGCAUUCCGCCUGGGGAGUACGGCCGCAAGGCUGAAACUCAAAGGAAUUGACGGGGGCCCGCACAAGCGGUGGAGCAUGUGGUUUAAUUCGAAGCUACGCGAAGAACCUUACCAGGUCUUGACAUACUAUGCAAAUCUAAGAGAUUAGACGUUCCCUUCGGGGACAUGGAUACAGGUGGUGCAUGGUUGUCGUCAGCUCGUGUCGUGAGAUGUUGGGUUAAGUCCCGCAACGAGCGCAACCCUUAUUAUCAGUUGCCAGCAUUAAGUUGGGCACUCUGGUGAGACUGCCGGUGACAAACCGGAGGAAGGUGGGGAUGACGUCAAAUCAUCAUGCCCCUUAUGACCUGGGCUACACACGUGCUACAAUGGAUGGUACAACGAGUUGCGAACUCGCGAGAGUAAGCUAAUCUCUUAAAGCCAUUCUCAGUUCGGAUUGUAGGCUGCAACUCGCCUACAUGAAGUCGGAAUCGCUAGUAAUCGCGGAUCAGCAUGCCGCGGUGAAUACGUUCCCGGGCCUUGUACACACCGCCCGUCACACCAUGAGAGUUUGUAACACCCAAAGUCGGUGGGGUAACCUUUUA